UAGGGAAUCUUCCACAAUGGACGCAAGUCUGAUGGAGCAACGCCGCGUGAGUGAAGAAGGUUUUCGGAUCGUAAAGCUCUGUUGUUGGUGAAGAAGGAUAGAGGCAGUAACUGGUCUUUAUUUGACGGUAAUCAACCAGAAAGUCACGGCUAACUACGUGCCAGCAGCCGCGGUAAUACGUAUGUGGCAAGCGUUGUCCGGAUUUAUUGGUCGUAAAGCGAGGGCAGGCGGAAUGAUAAGUCUGAUGUGAAAGCCAACGGAUCAACAGUGAAACUGCAUCGGAAACUGUCAUUCUUGAAUGCAGAAGAGGAGAGUGGAAUUCCAUGUGUAGCGGUAGAAUGCGUAGAUAUAUGGAAGAGCACCAGUGGCGAAGGCGGCUCUCUGGUCUGCAACUGAAGCUGAGGCUCGAAAGCAUGAGUAGCGAACAGG
rnacentral:rRNA from 1 species